GACGAACGCUGGCGGCGCGCCUAACACAUGCAAGUCGAACGAGCGAGAGAGAGCUUGCUUUCUUGAGCGAGUGGCGAACGGGUGAGUAACGCGUGAGGAACCUGCCUCAAAGAGGGGGACAACAGUUGGAAACGACUGCUAAUACCGCAUAAGCCCACGGUGCCGCAUGGCACAGAGGGAAAAGGAGCAAUCCGCUUUGAGAUGGCCUCGCGUCCGAUUAGCUAGUUGGUGAGGUAACGGCCCACCAAGGCGACGAUCGGUAGCCGGACUGAGAGGUUGAACGGCCACAUUGGGGCUGAGACACGGCCCAGACUCCUACGGGAGGCAGCAGUGGGGAAUAUUGCACAAUGGGGGAAACCCUGAUGCAGCGACGCCGCGUGGAGGAAGAAGGUCUUCGGAUUGUAAACUCCUGUUGUUGGGGAAGAAAAUGACGGUACCCAACAAGGAAGUGACGGCUAACUACGU
rnacentral:rRNA from 1 species